AUGUCCGUGAUACGAUUAUAAUGAUGACAAGAACACCAAAUCAUGCGCUACUGUAAUUAAGUAGUGGGGUUCAAACUGAGAAAAUACCGAAGAUAGUACGAUGCAAGGAGGAUUUAUAUAGACAUUUUUAUUUGACGAUUUUUUGUACACCAGGUUAUGUUUUCAUUAUUGAUAUAGACCUCUGUAAUAAUUUUAUCUAUUGACAAGUGUACAACACCUUGAAUGGAGAAUUUGUUUUGAAUGUUUAAACAUAUGAUAGUGCUACUGAAUCAAUACAACCUGGGGUUAUUUUAACCAAUAAAUGUGUCAUUUAGAAG
rnacentral:misc_RNA from 1 species